AACUUGACACAACUGAAGACCAAUAGCACAAAGGAAGAUGAGGAGUCUAUUUGGAAACCCAUCUGUGACAUAUGUUCGAAAGACCUGUGCACAGAACCCACCAAAACAGACUCCUCCUGCUCUGGUGGCACAUGCAAAAACAUCAUCUGCAAAUGCAAGCUCUCUAAAGAAGACACAAAGGGCACCUGCCAUCGACGAUACACUUGUGAACGUCACAAACCAUCCACCAGCACGGACUACACAACUGAUAUGUGCAACAGCCCCCCCAAGAAAAAUUGGACGAC